ensembl:lncRNA
GUUCCUCCUGAUGGUCAUGAAGGGGGUGUGUGUCCUGCUGGCAGUUUCUGCCCACCGGGUUCAGUUCACCCACAGCCCUGCCCUUCAGGAACCUACAGUAACAGCACGGGUCUCCAACAUGCAGAGCAGUGUGUCCACUGUCCUCCAGGCUAUUAUUGUUUAGGAACAAACUCUACGUCCCCUUCUGGUCCAUGCUUUGCGGGGUAUUACUGCACCGGAGGUUCAGCCACACCAAUCCAACAUGAAGCUGAGGAGGGACACUACUCUUUGGAAGGAGCUGUCAGGGCCGAACCAUGCCCAUUGGGAACUUUCCAACCAGUAAGUCACAUGUUUAGAGCAUUUACACCAUGUAACAUUUUCAUUGUAUUGUAUUCAUUGAAUCAAUUUUAUUAAAUUUCAGUUUAAUUUUCCAUUUUACUUCUUUUCCAUCAGGGAAGAGGCUACAACUCAUGCAUUGAAUGCCAAUCAGGAAGACUGUGCAACAAGACAGGCCUAUCCCAGCAGCCUCUGUGCCCACCUGGAAACUUCUGCCCUGCUGGAUCCUUAAUUGCUCACCCAUGUCCCCCUGGUACAUACACGGCAAGUUCAGGGGUGGAGGAUCUGCAGCACUGCGGCCCAUGUGAUGCUGGUCAGUACUGCCGCUCUCCUGGACUGACUGCUCCUCAGGGACCUUGUGAGCCUGGUUUUUACUGCACUGGUGGAUCUCAUGUUGGCUCUCCGGUAACAGCAUACUGUUCAUCACCCAUGUUGAUCAGUGGGUUUUAAUCCAAAAAUCAAAGAUCUAUUCAUUAAUUUAUUCAUCCAUUUUUUUACAGAUUAGCUCCAGAUAUGGUGACAUAUGCCCCAUGGGUUAUUACUGUCCAGCAGGCACCAGGCACCCUCAUGAGUACCCCUGUCCUCCUGGAACCUGGAGUAAUGCACUGGGAGCCCAAAAUGUGUCAUCGUGCUGGCUCUGCCCUGCUGGAUUCUUCUGCAACAGCUCUGGCCUCACUCAGCCCACUGGAAUAUGUGCUCCAGGUACAAAAUGACAUAAUCUCAAAUUCCUCCAGAUUGACUUUUGUUUUUAAAAUUGACCAGAGUUCUUCUCCAUUCUGUCAUAUAGGGUUUUAUUGUGCGGGAGGCGCUAAAACGGCUAUGCCUGAUGAUGGGGUUACAGGAAACAGGUGUCCAACGCGGUAUUACUGUCCACAGGGGUGUACUUCACCUCUGCACUGCCCUGAUGGAACACACUCAAAUAGCACAGGUGCUGCAGAAUGCAGUGACUGUCCCACUGGAUGGUUGUGUCUGGAGGGGGAGGAGCUCCAGUUGUGUCCAGAGGGACAUUACUGCCUGGGGGGCACAGUGGAGGACAUACUCCCCUGCCCUCCAGGCACAUACAGCCCCAAAGCAGGACAAAACCAGGGGGAGCAGUGUUUACUGUGCUCAGCUGGUGAGAGCAGUGCCCCUGCUUUACUUACACCUUUGGCAGUUUAAAUAGCAUUGGUGUAGUUUUAUGUUCAUCAUACCCACCUAUCAUUUUAAGGAAUGUUCUGUGAGGAUUGGGGACUGGUUGAACCUACUGGUCCCUGCCAGGCUGGGUAUUUUUGCCUUGCAGGUAUGUCUGGUUACAUCGACAUUAGGCUUUGUCUUCAUUCUGUUGAACUGGAUUGUGGUGUCUAAGCAUAUGUGGUUCAUGUGACUUUUGCAGGCAUAAACUUCAAGAAUCCUGAUGCGAAUAUUAGCACAGGGGUGGGUGGGCCAUGUCCUGUAGGUUAUUACUGUCCUGAGGGCACCAGCCUUCCUUUACCCUGCCCACUUGGCACUUUUUCAAACAGGUACUGCACUUCACAGGGUUAAAUGAUCCUACCAAACCAAGAUGAGUAAAUGAAACGAUUAACAGAUUUCUUUUUAUCUUUAUAGUCUGUAUGUCACUGAGAACACAGGAUGCUCUUUGUGUCCUGCUGGGCUAUUCUGCGGUUCAGUGGGCUUGAGUAGACCCUCUGGACUCUGCCAAGAGGGGUUCUACUGUCCUGCCGGGGCAUCGUCAUCCACAGGUGGGACCAUCCAACUAUGUUUGUUAACUUGAUAGCAUCAUUGGCUGAUUGUCUGUUUGUAUUCCACUAUUGACUGUGGUGUUAUGGUUUAUACAGGUUCUGAUUCUGAAGGUGGUCUCUGUCCUCAAGCGCACUUCUGCCCCGCUGGCAGUGCAGUGCCUGUUCCCUGCCCUGCGGGCACCUAUACCAACCUGACAGGACAGAUUAAGUGUAGUCCCUGCCAUGCUGGUUACUAUUGCCCAGAGAGUACCAGCAAAUACACUAUGUACCCCUGUCCUCCUGGAUUCUACUGCCCUGAUGGUAAGAUGCAGAAUGAAAUGUGAAUGGAAAAAAGUAGUGCAUACAAUGCAAGAAAAUAACAUUCUAAUG